GAUGAACGCUAGCUACAGGCUUAACACAUGCAAGUCGAGGGGCCGCAUGAACAAAGCUUGCUUUGUUUGAUGGCGACCGGCGCACGGGUGCGUCACACGUAUCCAAUCUGCCCGCGGCUCGGGGAUAGCUCAUCGAAAGAUGGAUUAAUACCCGAUGGCGUGGUAACUCCGCAUGGGGUGUCCACUAACGGUUUUCCGGCCGCGGAUGAGGAUGCGGAGGAUUAGGUAGUAGGCGGGGUAACGGCCCACCUAGCCUUCGAUCAUUAGGGGUUCUGAGAGGAAGGUCCCCCACACUGGAACUGAGACACGGUCCAGACUCCUACGGGAGGCAGCAGUGAGGAAUAUUGGUCAAUGGGCGAGAGCCUGAACCAGCCAAGUAGCGUGAAGGAAGACUGCCCUAUGGGUUGUAAACUUCUUUUGUUCGGGAAUAAAGUGCAGUAUGUAUACUGUUUUGUAUGUACCGUUCGAAUAAGCAUCGGCUAAUUCCGUGCCAGCAGCCGCUGUAACAC
rnacentral:rRNA from 1 species